ensembl:lncRNA
GUGCCAGGCACUAGGCAUGCCCUCCAGGAGCUCCACAUUUGGGCACAGACGACAGCUCAGGGGGACAGAGGAACCCGGCCUAAGUCUACUGGGCCCUCCUGUCCACUCCUAUGACCCCCCCCUGCAGUCCUGCAUGCAGGGCAGAGAUGGGGGUGAUACUGGCACAGCUCCAAAGGGUUGUAUCAUCUGCUCCCGCCUCUACAAGUGUGCCAGGCUGGGUGAGGCAAUGCCAGGUGCCAGGCACUGGGUAAGGAGGCCUUCCCCAUCUCCCGAAGGGCUCUGGGGGCCACGGGGGCUGGCCCAGGAAUGUAAACCUGCGUGUGUUUGGGAAAGCUGGAGCCAGGGGUUUCCGAGGGUUGCCCACUGGAGCCUGCUGCAGGCUGGCGAACAGAUGUGCAUGCGUUAACACUCCCCAGAGGGGCCUGGCUCCCUCCCACCUCGGGCUGGGCAUCUGGAACCAGUUAGGAGCCAGGCAGCUGGGGCAUAGUUACCUUAGCUGAGGCUGAGGCUGAGCUGGGGCAGCGACCCAGGAGGGAGGGGAGGCGAUGCUGGCCUGAGAACAGCAGCUCUUUGCUAGAAGGAAAAAAGAGAAGGCCUGAAGCUGGCGAGAUGGCGCCUUGUCCAGCGCCCCUAGGGCCAGGUCGAGACCAAGUCGACUUCCCCAAGAGAGGGUCAGAGAGCCAGGAUCACAUCAGUGGCCUCAUGCAGGGCUAUUCACACACCCCAAGGUCCAAGGGCCAUACGGUGCCCUGGUUAGGGCUGGACUCUGGAGCCAAGUUACCUGGAUUUGACUCCCGGCUUGGCCUCUGCCUAGCUCGGGCACCAGGGGCAAGCUUCUUGGUUGCCCCUCUCUGAGCCUCAGUUUCCCCACUGGUAUCAAGGGUUAAGCAUGGCUCUGGGCUUCAAGUCUUCCAUGAGCCCAGCAGUGAGCUUUCUUGGGUCGGUCCCUUGGGAGCUCCAGUAGGGUGUGGACAACAGGACUUUAACCCCCUGGCUCCCUCCCAGGGAUCCUCCCCACAUAGCACCCCUCCCCUCACUCCUCCAGGCCAGGGUGGUUAUGGUCUGCACGUUUUUCUUUCUUUUUUUCUUCACUAGAGACAGGGUCUUUCUCUGUCAGCCAGGCCAGAGUGCAGUGGUGCCAUCUCUGCUCACUGCAGCCUUGAUCUCCCAGACUCAAGUGAUCCUCCCGCCUCAGCAUCCUGAGCAGUUGGGACUACAAGCAUGCGUCACCAUGCCAGGCUAAUUUUUAAGAUUUUUUUGUAGGCUGGAUGCGGUGGCUCACACCUGUAAUCCCAGCACUUUGGGAAGCCGAGGUGGGCAGAUCACGAGGUCAGAUCGAAACCAUCCUGGCUAACAUGGUGAAAUCCCAUCUCUACUAAAAAUACAAAAAAUUAGCCAGGCAUGGUGGCAGGCACCUGUAGUCCCAGCUACUGGGGAGGCUGAGGCAGAAGAAUGGCAUGAACCCAGGAGGCGGAGCUUGCAGUGAGCCGAAAUCACGCCACUGCACUCCAGCCUGGGUGACAGAGCAAGACUCCGUUUCCAAAAAAAAAAAAAAAAAA